rnacentral:rRNA from 1 species
AUUGAACGCUGGCGGCAGGCUUAACACAUGCAAGUCGAGCGGAGAUGAGGUGCCUGCACCUUAUCUUAGCGGCGGACGGGUGAGUAAUGCUUAGGAAUCUGCCAUUUAGUGGGGGACAACAUUCCGAAAGGAAUGCUAAUACCGCAUACGUCCUACGGGAGAAAGCAGGGGAUCGUCGGACCUUGCGCUAAAUGAUGAGCCUAAGUCGGAUUAGCUAGUUGGUGGGGUAAAGGCCUACCAAGGCGACGAUCUGUAGCGGGUCUGAGAGGAUGAUCCGCCACACUGGGACUGAGACACGGCCCAGACUCCUACGGGAGGCAGCAGUGGGGAAUAUUGGACAAUGGGCGGAAGCCUGAUCCAGCCAUGCCGCGUGUGUGAAGAAGGCCUUUUGGUUGUAAAGCACUUUAAGCGAGGAGGAGGCUACUAGUACUAAUACUACUGGAUAGUGGACGUUACUCGCAGAAUAAGCACCGGCUAACUCUGUGCCAGCCGCCGCCGUAACAC